ACAUAUCUAAACCAAUAAAUGAAAAAGAACCUCGAAUAGGUAGGUUUUUUGUGAACCUUAGAAACAAGAAAGGCUUAGAAGAAACAAGAUCAGAUCUGGAGUCGAUAAUGUCGAAAUCAGGCUCAAGAUUGAGACACGUCGGAGCAAGGCCGGAGAUGGCUGAAAACCUCAAAUCGACGAAGGUCUGAGUGAAUACCGUUGAAGUUUGGCCUCAAACCUUCAGGUAUUAAGCAUGUGAGAGAAGUAGGAGGUGAGUAUAGGUCGUCCAUGGCUUGAGCGGCCAUGGAUUCGGUGGGUUUGGGGUUGAAAGCGGUAGAGAGCGAUUAGGGUUUCGAGAGAGUUCAAGAGCGUUUGAUAGAAUUGGGCGUUAGAGGC
rnacentral:lncRNA from 1 species